rnacentral:rRNA from 1 species
GAUGGGGAUGCGUUCCAUUAGAUAGUAGGCGGGGUAACGGCCCACCUAGUCUUCGAUGGAUAGGGGUUCUGAGAGGAAGGUCCCCCACAUUGGAACUGAGACACGGUCCAAACUCCUACGGGAGGCAGCAGUGAGGAAUAUUGGUCAAUGGGCGAGAGCCUGAACCAGCCAAGUAGCGUGAAGGAUGACUGCCCUAUGGGUUGUAAACUUCUUUUAUAAAGGAAUAAAGUCGGGCACGCAUACCCGUUUGCAUGUACUUUAUGAAUAAGGAUCGGCUAACUCCGUGCCAGCAGCCGCGGUAAUACGGAGGAUCCGAGCGUUAUCCGGAUUUAUUGGGUUUAAAGGGAGCGUAGAUGGAUGUUUAAGUCAGUUGUGAAAGUUUGCGGCUCAACCGUAAAAUUGCAGUUGAUACUGGAUAUCUUGAGUGCAGUUGAGGCAGGCGGAAUUCGUGGUGUAGCGGUGAAAUGCUUAGAUAU